rnacentral:rRNA from 1 species
AACGAACGCUGGCGGCAGGCUUAACACAUGCAAGUCGAACGGGCGUAGCAAUACGUCAGUGGCAGACGGGUGAGUAACACGUGGGAAACCUUCCUAGGGGUACGGAACAACUCAGGGAAACUUGAGCUAAUACCGUAUACGUCCGUGAGGAGAAAGAUUUAUCGCCCUUAGACGGGCCCGCGUCGGAUUAGCUAGUUGGUGGGUAACGGCCUACCAAGGCGACGAUCCGUAGCUGAUCUGAGAGGAUGAUCAGCCACACUGGGACUGAGACACGGCCCAGACUCCUAC